rnacentral:rRNA from 1 species
CACGUAGGGGGCGAGCGUUGUCCGGAUUUAUUGGGCGUAAAGAGCUCGUAGGCGGCUCAGUAAGUCGGGUGUGAAACCUCCAGGCUCAACCUGGAGACGCCACCUGAUACUGCUGUGGCUGGAGUCCGGUAGGGGAGCGUGGAAUUCCUGGUGUAGCGGUGAAAUGCGCAGAUAUCAGGAGGAACACCGGUGGCGAAGGCGGAUCUCUGGGCCUUACCUGACGCUGAGGCGCGAAAGCUAGGGGAGCGAACAGG